GUAGGCUAUGGAGACAUCUACCCCAAAACUCUUUUAGGUAAAAUAGUAGGAGGGUUGUGCUGCAUUGCUGGAGUACUAGUGAUUGCUCUUCCAAUUCCAAUCAUUGUCAAUAAC
rfam:Alligator sinensis unplaced genomic scaffold scaffold115_1, whole genome shotgun sequence